rnacentral:rRNA from 1 species
UACGGGGGGGGCAAGCGUUGUUCGGAAUUACUGGGCGUAAAGGGCUCGUAGGCGGCCAACUAAGUCAGACGUGAAAUCCCUAGGCUCAACCUAGGAACUGCGUCUGAUACUGGAUGGCUUGAAUCCGGGAGAGGGAUGCAGAAUUCCAGGUGUAGCGGUGAAAUGCGUAGAUAUCUGGAGGAACACCGGUGGCGAAGGCGGCAUCCUGGACCGAUAUUGACGCUGAGGAGCGAAAGCCAGGGGAGCAAACGGG